rnacentral:rRNA from 1 species
CGAAACCAGGUGAUCUACCCAUGUCCAGGAUGAAGGUAAGGUAAUACUUACUGGAGGUCCGAACCCACGCACGUUGAAAAGUGCGGGGAUGAGGUGUGGGUAGCGGAGAAAUUCCAAUCGAACUUGGAGAUAGCUGGUUCUCUCCGAAAUAGCUUUAGGGCUAGCCUCGAGGUAAAGAGUCAUGGAGGUAGAGCACUGUUUGGACUAGGGGCCCUUCUCGGGUUACCGAAUUCAGAUAAACUCCGAAUGCCAUGUACUUAUACUCGGGAGUCAGACUGCGAGUGAUAAGAUCCGUAGUCGAAAGGGAAACAGCCCAGACCACCAGUUAAGGUCCCCAAAUAUAUGUUAAGUGGAAAAGGAUGUGGGGUUGC